rnacentral:sRNA from 1 species
GAGGACAUGAAUAGUCGCCAGGCUUGGCGGCUCUUGCUCUCCCAAGGCAGAGGGGAUCGUUGGGUUUCAAGGCCCCGCGGGCAUUUCUCGCCGGCCCUGCGGAGAGAGUUCUUCACUACCACAACCAAGGAGGGAUAUGAUAGGCGGCCAGUGGAUAUAACUCCUCUAGAACAAAGGAAAUUAACUUUUGAUACCCAUGCAUUGGUUCAGGACUUGGAAACUCACGGAUUUGACAAAUCACAAGCAGAAACAAUUGUGUCAGCGUUAACUACUUUAUCAAAUGUCAGCCUGGAUACUAUCUAUAAAGAGAUGGUCACUCAAGCUCAACAGGAAAUAACAGUACAACAGCUAAUGGCUCAUUUGGAUUCUAUCAGGAAAGACAUGGUCAUCCUAGAGAAAAGUGAAUUCGCAAAUCUGAGAGCAGAAAAUGAGGUGAUACAAAUUUUAAUUUAUUACUUAUAAAAUAACUGAUCUCAUAAUAAGCAUCCUACUUAAUGAAUAAGUUAAUAAGACCAAGUAAUAAUUCCAUGUGGUUAGUAAACUAUAAGUUUUUAGAUUUAAAAACAUACUAUUUGUUUAACCAUACCUAAUCUUUUUCUAUAUAAAUCAUAGUGCUUUGCAUACUGAA